GACCCUCGCCGCCGCAUUGCAGCCCUCGCCGACCCUCGCCGCCGCCUCGCAGCCCUCGACGACGGCCCUCGCGCCGCUGUGGGUCCAGCCACCGCGCUCGGCAGUCCUCCCCGGCUCCCUCCCAUCCUCGCGCUCGGCUGGUGCCUCCCCUCGCGCUCGACAGUCCUCCCCGGCUCCCUGCCCAACACCCUCCCCGGCUCCCCCAUCCUCGCGCUCGGCUGCUGCCUCCGUCGAUCCUGGCCUGCACUCCAUCGGGACUCCACCUCUCCGUCGCACCGUCCCAUCUGCUGACCAUGGGUUCGCAUCCGCCGCCGAUCCCUCGGUAAACAAUUUCAGUGUUCUAAAAAUCUCUGACUUUAACAGUUGGUUACCAAUUUCUCGCCGCCGAUCCCUCGGUAAACAAUUUCUGUGUUCUAAAAGUCUCUGAUUUUAACAGUUGGUGACCAAUUUCUGUGUUUCUGAUGGUAACAGAUUCCCCAAAAGUCUGUGGCCGGAGCCGCACUUGGAGGCCACCUCCUUGCCCUCGCCAAGACCUGUUGGUUUAAUUAUUUCUAACCUCUACACUGAUCUCAAAUCCAUCCUAUACUACUUCCCAAUGAGAGUUACAUUUCAGCCUCUUACAUUUCAAAAGUAAUAUUUUUCCAAGCUGGUAUGUGUUUAUUGGCAUGGACGAUUUACUUUAGUAGCCCCAAAAAAGGCAUCCUAAAACAAGGUUGUGCUCUCCUCCUGCAGUGAAGCCAAAAGAAAGUAGAUGUGCUAUUAUUCUUCACUCUUCAUUUCAAUGCUGUUAACAACUGGUACAAGUAAUCCUCAUGGGAUCUGUCCAGUAAUUGUGCAGCUGCCCUCUCUCCUCUUCCCACUUCUUUGCUAAUUUUUGCUAAGUGUGACCAAUUCUGUUCGUCAGUUAUCUGCAUUGUUUUAUUUGGUUUGCUAUUGCCAACAAUUAACAAGUAGUAUUUGUUCAUUACUUGAGUUCAUGCUUUGCACCGCUUGAAAUUGGUAUUGGAACUGCAGUUAGAGUUUUAUAUCAUUCCUGUAACUGAAGUGUAUAAACUGCCACAAUAAAGUUGUGACAUCCAGGUGCCUAAAAGUUUGUACAUAAGUAUAUUUCUCAUCUGUGCAUAAUUUUUACCAUUCCGGGAUGCCAAUGUAUUCAGAAAUGAAGCUAGCUUUAUUUGUCUACAUACCUCUGGAACCCCAAAAUAAAGGUAAGAAAGCAUAUUUGUCCUUCACCUUUUUCUUCUUUAGCAAACCAUACCUUUGUUUGGGUACGCAUCUGCUUUUAACUUAGUGCCUAUGGAACGAAUUAAUGUUGUAUGUGACACCUUUUUGGGCCCAUAUGAUGCAGAAUGAACUGAACAUCGAGCAGAGGUGUUCUUUAUUUUUAGUGUGGCAACUGAGCUUCAGAACUUUCAGUGUCAAAACAGAGAUUCAGGCUAAGGUACAGGACACCAAGACAAAUAUUAAGAAAGAAAGGUGGAGUAAAAUCCAUAUCACUAGCUGCUCAAUAAGUUUACCUAUAGAACAUGUUUCUUAUUAUUCAUUAAAAUAUAAAUAUAAAGCUUAUUUAAAGAUUUGAAAAAUUCUAAUGCAGUGUCAGGUCAUAUUGGGGUGCAAACUUAGGCUUUUGUCAUUGUUCGUAGCUUGGAGAAUGCAAAACGAGAUGAAUGUAUCCCACGACAAAUUAGACAAGUUUGGAUUGUAGUUCGUUUUCUAGGGACUAUGCCAUCAACAUGAUUCCUUUUUGUUAAGCAUUUUCCUUAGCUGCAUUUUUGUUCUGUUCAUGUAUCGUCAUCUGAUUACUCAUAAAUUGCAGAGGCUUUAUGAGGAUUUUCACAAAGAAGCACCUGCUGAUCUACUAGCCCAUCUAGGAAGUUUGGAUGCCUAUUCUAAUCAGUUUAGAACAUAUAUGCUAAAACCUGUAUUCACUUGUAUAGUCCAUGCUUCCAAAGUAGCUACAAUCAUGAUGCUAGAUUGGAACUCUGUUAUGUCACUAGAGGAAAUAACUACAUGCUAGAGUGUGAAAUUGGUUCACCAAGUUAUUGUUUAUAUUUGUGCAAAUUAGAAAAUUGGCAACUGCAUGACAUUGCUUUAUUGUUUUUUCCCAUCACCAAUCAAGUGAGCAAUUAAUUUCUUAUACAGUUUCCAGGCCGUCUCUGGGAAUAUGGAUAUUGCUCCAUUCAAGCUGGACACUAAUGAGCUAAUAGCCGAUUAUGACAAGGAGAACAACACGGCAUUGGCUGACUUCAAGCGAGUUUGGAAGGCAAAGAAAUUUUCUUAUCUCUAUGAAGGCAGACCUAAGACAAACUCCGAUUUCUUCAUGUAGUCCCUCUUUCUGCAUUGUAUUGGUCAUUUGACUUCUCCAAGUUCUCUACACUGAAGAUUGCCUAGGCUUUACUGCCUUUACUGUCAUUGUGAGUGUCAGCCAUACAAGCCACAGUUCAAGAUCUACUUGUCCAGUCAUGUGCUUUUUUAUCUUGCUACGUGCUUGCUGUGGAGUUGUGUAUCUGAUCGAUGCAAUUGAGAUGGAGUUGGGCACGUCAUGUUGAAAUACUGAUCAUGUAAGUUUAUCUAAAUGAUUGUCGUAAAUAUGUUAGGUCCUUUGUGUUCUUACGUAUUUUGCGUGUGCAAAUUGGUUGGAACAGUAGUUCUGUAUCGAUACUGUUACUUUGUUAGAGAUUAUGCCUCCAGAACAAUGGCAAGAUUUUCAUGGUCAAA